rnacentral:rRNA from 1 species
UUUGAGAAAUACUGCACUAAAGGCACCAGAUCCCAUCUGACCUUGGAAGCUAAGCAGGAUCAGCUCUGCUUAGUACUUGGAUGGGGGACUGCCAAGGAACACAGGGUGUUGUCGGCU